rnacentral:rRNA from 1 species
GACGAACGCUGGCGGCGUGCUUAACACAUGCAAGUCGAACGGAAAGGCCCUUCGGGGUACUCGAGUGGCGAACGGGUGAGUAACACGUGGGUGAUCUGCCCUGCACUUUGGGAUAAGCCUGGGAAACUGGGUCUAAUACCGAAUAGGACCACGCGCUUCAUGGUGUGUGGUGGAAAGCGUUUGCGGUGUGGGAUGGGCCCGCGGCCUAUCAGCUUGUUGGUGGGGUAAUGGCCUACCAAGGCGACGACGGGUAGCCGGCCUGAGAGGGUGACCGGCCACACUGGGCCUGCGAUACGGCCCAGACUCCUACGGGGGGCAGCGGUGGGAAAUGUUGCCCAAUGGGCGCAAGCCUGAUGCAGCGACGCCGCGUGAGGGAUGACGGCCUUCGGGUUGUAAACCUCUUUCAAUAGGGACGAAGCGGAAGUGACGGUACCUAAAGAAGAAGCACCGGCCAACUACGUG